GGUCUGUGGCUCAGUGGUAGAGCAUCUGCUUUGCAUGCAGACAGUCCCAGGUUCAAUCCCCAGCAUCUCCA